AGUGAACGCUGGCGGUAGGCCUAACACAUGCAAGUCGAACGGCAGCACAGUAAGAGCUUGCUCUUACGGGUGGCGAGUGGCGGACGGGUGAGGAAUACAUCGGAAUCUACUUUUUCGUGGGGGAUAACGUAGGGAAACUUACGCUAAUACCGCAUACGACCUACGGGUGAAAGCAGGGGAUCUUCGGACCUUGCGCGAUUGAAUGAGCCGAUGUAGGAUUAGCUAGUUGGCGGGGUAAAGGCCCACCAAGGCGACGAUCCGUGGCUGGUCUGAGAGGAUGGUCACCAAUAUGGGAACUGGGCCACGGGCCAGCUUCCUAGUGGAGGAAGCAGUGGGGAAUAUUGAACAAUGGGCGCAAGCCUGAUCCAGCCAGUCCGCGUGUGUGAAGAAGGCCUUCGGGUUGUAAAGCCCUUUUUUUUGGAAAGAAAAGCAGCAGGUUAAUACCCCGCUGUUCUGACGUUACCCAAAGAAUAAGCCCCGGCUAACUUCGUG
rnacentral:rRNA from 1 species